AGAGUUUGAUCCUGGCUCAGGAUGAACGCUGGCGGUAUGCUUAACACAUGCAAGUCGAACGGUACCUUCGGGUAUAGUGGCGGACGGGUGAGUAACGCGUGAGAAUCUGUCUUCAGGUCGGGGACAACAGUUAGAAAUGACUGCUAAUACCGGAUGUGCCUUUGGGUGAAAGAUUUAUUGCCUGAAAAAGAGCUCGCGUCAGAUUAGCUAGUAGGUGGUGUAAGAGACUACCUAGGCUCCGAUCUGUAGCUGGUCUGAGAGGACGAUCAGCCACACUGGAACUGAGACACGGUCCAGACUCCUACGGGAGGCAGCAGUGGGGAAUUUUCCGCAAUGGGCGAAAGCCUGACGGAGCAAUACCGCGUGAGGGACGAAGGCUCUUGGGUCGUAAACCUCUUUUCUCAAGGAAGAUUUAGACGGUACUUGAGGAAUAAGCAUCGGCUAACUCUGUGCCAGCAGCCGCGGUAAUACAGAGGAUGCAAGCGUUAUCCGGAAUGAUUGGGCGUAAAGCGUCCGCAGGUGGUUUAAAAAGUCUGCUGUUAAAGCGUGUGGCUCAACCACAUACAGGCAGUGGAAACUAUUAGACUAGAGUAUGUUAGGGGUAGAGGGAAUUCCCAGUGUAGCGGUGAAAUGCGUAGAGAUUGGGAAGAACACCGGUGGCGAAAGCGCUCUGCUAGGACAAUACUGACACUGAGGGACGAAAGCUAGGGGAGCGAAUGGGAUUAGAUACCCCAGUAGUC
rnacentral:rRNA from 1 species